UUUGAUUUUAUAAAGAGAAAGGAACCAGCAGUUUUAUUGAAAUCUGUCCAGCACUUAACUAGCAAAAGUAAAGUGAGUAAUCUCACACCCUUCGAUGAAAUCUCACACCAUUAAAAUCACCAAUAAUAACUAAUUGAUGGUUACAAAUCACAAAACUUGCUAACCU